GGUCCAUGAUCUUAAGUGUGUCAGGUUUUAAUCAGCAAGAUAAUUCAGAUGCCUUUGUAACCUGCUUCUCAACAGGCUGCUGGACUUGGACUGAUUCUGUGUGUAUCUCUUUUGUUUCCUCAUCAGGGAGAAAAUGCUACAAACUAGUUGCUAUAACCUUUGGACUCCUUUGUAUCCUACAAGCUGCUCUUAACAUUUCACUACGUCUUCUGCUCUACAAUUCUGAAAAUAUGAGAGCAAGUACAGAGUGGAACUGCAAAAACCUGACUGAAGAGACCAAUGAGCUGAAGAGAAAACUGGAUACUUUUGAUAACAAAACUGUGAACAUGGAGGCCAGUUUAAAAUCUGUUACUGAGGAGCGAGAUGAGCUGAA